UUGAAAAUUAAAAAAAUGAACAAGGUCUCCGAUUGUGUGAACCAGCGGAGGGAUCAUUACCGAGUUUUACAACUCCCAAACCCAAUGUGAACCAUACCAAACUGUUGCCUCGGCGGGGUCACGCCCCGGGUGCGUCGCAGCCCCGGAACCAGGCGCCCGCCGGAGGGACCAACCAAACUCUUUUCUGUAGUCCCCUCGCGGACGUUAUUUCUUACAGCUCUGAGCAAAAAUUCAAAAUGAAUCAAAACUUUCAACAACGGAUCUCUUGGUUCUGGCAUCGAUGAAGAACGCAGCGAAAUGCGAUAAGUAAUGUGAAUUGCAGAAUUCAGUGAAUCAUCGAAUCUUUGAACGCACAUUGCGCCCGCCAGUAUUCUGGCGGGCAUGCCUGUCCGAGCGUCAUUUCAACCCUCGAACCCCUCCGGGGGGUCGGCGUUGGGGACCUCGGGAACCCCUAAGACGGGAUCCCGGCCCCGAAAUACAGUGGCGGUCUCGCCGCAGCCUCUCCUGCGCAGUAGUUUGCACAACUCGCACCGGGAGCGCGGCGCGUCCACGUCCGUAAAACACCCAACUUCUGAAAUGUUGACCUCGGAUCAGGUAGGAAUACCCAKCCUGAACUUAAGCAUAUAAGAGCGGGGAAAGAAA
rnacentral:rRNA from 1 species